rnacentral:rRNA from 1 species
CGGACGGGUGAGUAACGCGCGGGUAACCUGCCUUGUACAGGGGGAUAACAGUUGGAAACGGCUGCUAAUACCGCAUAAGCGCACGGCAUCGCAUGAUGCAGUGUGAAAAACUCCGGUGGUAUAAGAUGGACCCGCGUUGGAUUAGCUAGUUGGUGAGGUAACGGCCCACCAAGGCGACGAUCCAUAGCCGACCUGAGAGGGUGACCGGCCACAUUGGGACUGAGACACGGCCCAA